rnacentral:rRNA from 1 species
GAUGAACGCUGGCGGCGUGCCUAACACAUGCAAGUCGAACGAAGCACUUUAAAUAGAUUUCUUCGGAAUGAAGUUUUUUGUGACUUAGUGGCGGACGGGUGAGUAACGCGUGGGUAACCUGCCCAGUACUGGGGGACAACAGUUGGAAACGACUGCUAAUACCGCAUAAGCCUACGGUGUCGCAUGACGCGGUAGGAAAAAUUCCGGUGGUACUGGAUGGGCCCGCGUCUGAUUAGCUAGUUGGUAAGGUAAUGGCUUACCAAGGCGACGAUCAGUAGCCGGCUUGAGAGAGUGAACGGCCACAUUGGGACUGAGACACGGCCCAAACUCCUACGGGAGGCAGCAGUGGGGAAUAUUGCACAAUGGGGGAAACCCUGAUGCAGCAAUGCCGCGUGAGUGAAGAAGUAUUUCGGUAUGUAAAGCUCUAUCAGCAGGGAAGAUAAUGACGGUACCUGACUAAGAAGCACCGGCUAAAUACGUGCCAGCCGCCGCGGUAA